GCCGGGAUCGCGUAAUCUGGUAUCGCACAGGUCUGGAAAACCUGGCCUUUCGGGGCUUCUGGGUUCAAAUCCCAGUCUCGGCG
rnacentral:tRNA from 1 species